rnacentral:rRNA from 1 species
CACAUGCAAGUCGAACGAACCUUCGGGUUAGUGGCGGACGGGUGAGUAACGCGUGGGAAUCUGCCCUCAGGAGGGGGAUAACGGUUGGAAACGACCGCUAAUACCCCAUAUGCCGAGAGGUGAAAUGAAUUUCGCCUGAGGAUGAGCCCGCGUCUGAUUAGCUUGUUGGUGAGGUAAUGGCUCACCAAGGCAUCGAUCAGUAGCUGGUCUGAGAGGAUGAUCAGCCACACUGGGACUGAGACACGGCCCAGACUCCUACGGGAGGCAGCAGUGGGGAAUUUUCCGCAAUGGGCGAAAGCCUGACGGAGCAACGCCGCGUGAGGGACGAAGGCCUCUGGGCUGUAAACCUCUUUUCUCAAGGAAGAAGAUAUGACGGUACUUGAGGAAUAAGCCACGGCUAAUUCCGUGCCAGCAGCCGCGGUAAUACGGGAGUGGCAAGCGUUAUCCGGAAUUAUUGGGCGUAAAGCGUCCGCAGGCGGCCUUUCAAGUCUGCUGUUAAAACGUGGAGCUUAACUCCAUCAUGGCAGUGGAAACUGAUUGGCUUGAGUAUGGUAGGGGCAGAGGGAAUUCCCGGUGUAGCGGUGAAAUGCGUAGAUAUCGGGAAGAACACCAGUGGCGAAGGCGCUCUGCUGGGCCAUUACUGACGCUCAUGGACGAAAGCCAGGGGAGCGAAAGGGAUUAGAUACCCCUGUAGUCCUGGCCGUAAACGAUGAACACUAGGUGUCGGGGGAAUCGACCCCUUCGGUGUCGUAGCUAACGCGUUAAGUGUUCCGCCUGGGGAG